rnacentral:rRNA from 1 species
UGGGAAACCGGGGCUAAUACCGGAUAAUCCUUUUCCUCUCAUGAGGAAAAGCUGAAAGACGGUUUACGCUGUCACUUACAGAUGGGCCCGCGGCGCAUUAGCUAGUUGGUGAGGUAACGGCUCACCAAGGCGACGAUGCGUAGCCGACCUGAGAGGGUGAUCGGCCACACUGGGACUGAGACACGGCCCAGACUCCUACGGGAGGCAGCAGUAGGGAAUCUUCCGCAAUGGACGAAAGUCUGACGGAGCAACGCCGCGUGAGUGAUGAAGGUUUUCGGAUCGUAAAACUCUGUUGUUAGGGAAGAACAAGUACAAGAGUAACUGCUUGUACCUUGACGGUACCUAACCAGAAAGCCACGGCUAACUACGUGCCAGCAGCCGCGGUAAUACGUAGGUGGCAAGCGUUGUCCGGAAUUAUUGGGCGUAAAGCGCGCGCAGGCGGUCCUUUAAGUCUGAUGUGAAAGCCCACGGCUCAACCGUGGAGGGUCAUUGGAAACUGGGGGACUUGAGUGCAGA